UGAACGCUAGCGGCAGGCCUAAUACAUGCAAGUCGAACGGGAUCUGAGGGUAGCUUGCUACCCGAUUUGAGAGUGGCGCACGGGUGCGUAACGCGUGAGCAACCUACCCAUAUCAGGGGGAUAGCCCGAAGAAAUUCGGAUUAACACCGCAUAAUAAUACGCUAACACAUGUUGAUGUAUUUAAAUAUUUAUAGGAUAUGGAUGGGCUCGCGUGACAUUAGCUAGUUGGUAAGGUAACGGCUUACCAAGGCGACGAUGUCUAGGGGCUCUGAGAGGAGAAUCCCCCACACUGGUACUGAGACACGGACCAGACUCCUACGGGAGGCAGCAGUAAGGAAUAUUGGUCAAUGGGCGCAAGCCUGAACCAGCCAUGCCGCGUGCAGGAUGACUGCCCUAUGGGUUGUAAACUGCUUUUGUUAGGGAAUAAACCUUCUUACGUGUAAGGAGCUGAAUGUACCUAAAGAAUAAGGAUCGGCUAACUCCGUGCCAGCAGCCGCGGUAAUACGGAGGAUCCAAGCGUUAUCCGGAUUUAUUGGGUUUAAAGGGUGCGUAGGUGGCUUAAUAAGUCAGGGGUGAAAGACAUCGGCUCAACCGAUGCAGUGCCUUUGAUACUGUUAAGCUUGAAUUAUGUUGAAGAUGGCGGAAUGAGACAAGUAGCGGUGAAAUGCAUAGAUAUGUCUCAGAACACCGAUUGCGAAGGCAGCUGUCUAAACAUGGAUUGACACUGAUGCACGAAAGCGUGGGGAUCAAACAGGAUUAGAUACCCUGGUAGUCCACGCCCUAAACGAUGAUAACUCGAUGUUAGCGAUAUACAGUUAGCGUCUUAGCGAAAGCGUUAAGUAUCCAC
rnacentral:rRNA from 2 species